CCCUAAUCACUUGGCACUUGCCAUGGAAGGUCUUUAGCUAGGUUUCUCGGAUCGAUCCAUUCCUCCAUGGCGUCGCUCGAUCACAGGGAAGCACGGCGAGCACAGGUGCGCUGGGCUAGAAUCGAGGGGCUGAGCCCGGUGUUGCCGAUUCCACGCGAUAAUCUGGGCCUCGGCGGUGCUGGAUUGGGAUUCGCGAGCAUCAGCUUGUUUGGACGCCGCAAGCCAGAGAAUGCGGGCCGGGAGGAGGCUGCUCCGGCUCAAGCGGUGCCAUACUCGCCGAAGCGCGGGACGUAUGCGCAUGACGCUCUACAGCGGAGGUUUAAGGAGCUGGACAAGCAAAACGCUGGGCACAUAAGCGAGAAUGAUCUGAAAGCGGUGCUCAAGAGCCUCAAUCUCCCAUCGUCGGAAGAGAAUGUUCAAGAGUUUCUCGAUUCGCUUGGUGGCAAUACUGUGCCAUUUGAUCAGUUCGCGGAGUACGCUGUUAGCCGAGAAAACCUCCUGUUUGAUACCUUCAGAGAGCUCGACAAGAAUAACACAGGAUACCUUACUACGAACGAAAUAAAAGCCGCGUUGGUGAAAUACAAGUUCCGGUUUUCGGACAGUGAUCUGCAAGCACUUGCUCGGACCUACAGCAAAGUUGGUGCUGGUCCUUUUGAUGAAAACCAGCUCUUUGAUUUUGCUGAUUACAGGAAUUGCUUGAUGGCGUACAGUCAAAAGGAUCUGAUAGACGCGGAUCAAGUUUGGGCUCGAGCUGCGAUAGAUGUAGGGGACGUGGAUACAUCUUUCCCUCUUAUAUCUGCGAAGAAAGGAAAAGCUGGCGACCUCCUCCUGUCGAAGGACAAGAUAUUGAAGCAUUUGUCUCUUGGUGUGCUUGCCUCCGCAGUAACGAGGACGCUCGUGGCACCUCUGGAACGUGUGAAGCUUCUCUCAACGGUGGAUUCCAAUAUUGCUUUUGGGAAGGCUUUCGAAGAAAUCCGGAAGGACGAGGGGUUUCAAGGACUUUUUAGAGGCAACUUACUGAAUGUGGCCCGCGUGAUUCCAACCAGGGUCGUGGAGUUCCUUGUUUAUGACAAACUUAAAGAAACGCUGCUGAGUAAAAGAAAGCAGUCAGAGAUUUCUAAUUUCGAUCGCUUACUUUUGGGGACGUUUGCGUCUAUGGCUGGUGUUAUUGCGGGGUAUCCUCUGGAUACCAUGAGAACGGUUCUAGCGUCACAAUUACCAAACAGGCAUGUGGACGACUUGAUGGUAAAAUCUGCUUUGGACAAUGGCGGAUUUCUAAACUUGUACAGAGGCCUUAUACCCAACUUGGCGAGGGCAGUACCAUAUACUCUGAUAACUUUCACUGUAUUUAAUCAUUUGCAAGAACGUCAUAGACAAAAGACUGGUCCUGGUGGCGAGAUUAAAACUUCCGUGGAUGCUUUAUUCGGGAUAGUGGCGGCUACGGCGGCACAGACCCUGGUGCAUCCUCUCGAAGUGGUUCAACGGAGGUUGCAGGCUGAGACUGCAAAGCAAGGAGUACUGGUAUACAAUAACAUGAUAAAUGCUUUCCAAGUUAUCCUUGAAAAGGAGGGUGUAAAUGGCCUUUAUUCAGGGUUGGCCGCAAGCUAUGUCAAAAUUGUUCCUGCGACUGCGAUCUCCUUACUCCUGUAUAAAGCGCUCAAAGAAAAGCUCGACGAUAGGCAGAGGCGAUAAGGUUUGGCGAGUCACGUGUUCACUGUUUUAGCUGCUUCCAUUGUGGAAACUACUUAUUGAACCACAGCUUCCGAAAACAGUUUGAACGACUUGAUUAGUCACACGACUUGGGAGCCUGAAAAGGAAGGCCUUCAGAUUUGCUCCUGCAACUAGCAAAGUCACCUGGUUCUAUAUCCACAAGACCAUUAGAAGUAAAGUUCACGUACUCAAUGAGCUUAUCUCUCCGGUAUGCGCCUGUACUUCUUUUGGUUUUUGCACGCGAUCUUUGUGUCUUGUGCAACGUUUGUACAUUGUUUAAGACGGUUCUCUGACGAAAAGUUGCACAAGGCAUGACGAUUG